AUACGUAGGGGACAAGCGUUGUCCGGAAUCACUGGGCGUAAAGGGCGCGUAGGCGGUUUUAUAAGUCAGAUGUGAAAGGUACCGGCUCAACCGGUGACGUGCAUUUGAAACUGUAAGACUUGAGUACUGGAGAGGCAAGUGGAAUUCCUAGUGUAGCGGUGAAAUGCGUAGAUAUUAGGAGGAACACCGGUGGCGAAGGCGGGUUGCUGGACAGAUACUGACGCUGAGGUGCGAAAGCGUGGGGAGCGAACAGGAUUAGAUACCCUGGUAGUCCACGCCGUAAACGAUGAUGACUAGGUGUUGGGGAAACUCAGUGCCGCAGUUAACACAUUAAGUCAUCCGCCUGGGGAGUACGUACGCAAGUAUGAAACUCAAAGGAAUUGACGGGG
rnacentral:rRNA from 1 species